UACGGGGGGGGCAAGCGUUGUUCGGAAUUACUGGGCGUAAAGGGCUCGUAGGCGGCCAACUAAGUCGGAUGUGAAAUCCCCAGGCUUAACCUGGGAACUGCAUCCGAUACUGGAUGGCUUGAAUUCGGGAGAGGGAUGCAGAAUUCCAGGUGUAGCGGUGAAAUGCGCAGAUAUCAGGAAGAACACCCGUGGCGAAGGCGGCUCUCUGGGACGGUACUGACGCUGAGACGCGAAAGCGUGGGGAGCGAACAGG
rnacentral:rRNA from 1 species